AGCGAACGCUGGCGGCAGGCCUAACACAUGCAAGUCGAACGAACCUUUCGGGGUUAGUGGCGGACGGGUGAGUAACACGUGGGAACGUGCCUUUAGGUUCGGAAUAACUCAGGGAAACUUGUGCUAAUACCGAAUGUGCCCUUCGGGGGAAAGAUUUAUCGCCUUUAGAGCGGCCCGCGUCUGAUUAGCUAGUUGGUUGAGGUAAUGGCUCACCAAGGCGACGAUCAGUAGCUGUCUGAGAGGAUGAUCAGCCACAUUGGGACUGAGACACGGCCCAAACUCCUACGGGAGGCAGCAGUGGGGAAUCUUGCGCAAUGGGCGAAAGCCUGACGCAGCCAUGCCGCGUGAAUGAUGAAGGUCUUAGGAUUGUAAAAUUCUUUCACCGGGGACGAUAAUGACGGUACCCGGAGAAGAAGCCCCGGCUAACUUCGUG
rnacentral:rRNA from 1 species